rnacentral:rRNA from 1 species
CCCUUAGAUGUUCUGGGCUGCACACGUGCUACACUGGCAGGUUCAGCGAGCUUCAUGCCCUGAUCUGAAAGGAAUGGGAAAUCUUUUCAAAACCUGCCGUGCUUGGGAUAGAUGUUUGCAAUUAUUCAUCUUCAACGAGGAUUGCCUUGUAAGCGCACGUCAUCAGCGUGCAUUGAAUACGACCCUGUAGUCUGUACACACCGCCCGUCGCUCCUACCGAUUGAAGUUUUCGGUGAGUUGACAGGAGGAUUUUUUUGAAACUGGUUCGCCAGUGGAUUUUAGAUCCAAAUGCCAACGAAUCGAUGGCUUUAGAGGAAGGAGAAGUCGUAACA